rnacentral:rRNA from 1 species
AUUGAACGCUGGCGGCAGGCUUAACACAUGCAAGUCGAGCGGGGGAAGGUAGCUUGCUACUGGACCUAGCGGCGGACGGGUGAGUAAUGCUUAGGAAUCUGCCUAUUAGUGGGGGACAACAUCUCGAAAGGGAUGCUAAUACCGCAUACGUCCUACGGGAGAAAGCAGGGGAUCUUCGGACCUUGCGCUAAUAGAUGAGCCUAAGUCGGAUUAGCUAGUUGGUGGGGUAAAGGCCUACCAAGGCGACGAUCUGUAGCGGGUCUGAGAGGAUGAUCCGCCACACUAGGACUGGAACACGGCCCAGACUCCUACGGGAGGCAGCAGUGGGGAAUAUUGGCCAAUGGGGGGAACCCUGAUCCAGCCAUGCCGCGUGUGUGAAGAAGGCCUUAUGGUUGUAAAGCACUUUAAGCGAGGAGGAGGCUACUUUAGUUAAUACCUAGAGAUAGUGGACGUUACUCGCAGAAUAGGCACCGGCUAACUCUGUGCCAGCCGCCGCCGUAA